CCUACGGGAGGCAGCAGUGAGGAAUAUUGGUCAAUGGUCGGGAGACUGAACCAGCCAAGCCGCGUGAGGGAUGAAGGUACAGAGUAUCGUAAACCUCUUUUGUCAGGGAACAAAGGCGGGGACGUGUCCCCGGAUGAGUGUACCUGAAGAAAAAGCAUCGGCUAACUCCGUGCCAGCAGCCGCGGUAAUACGGAGGAUGCGAGCGUUAUCCGGAUUUAUUGGGUUUAAAGGGUGCGCAGGCGGUCUGUUAAGUCAGCGGUAAAAGCCCGGGGCGCAACCCCGGCCCGCCGUUGAAACUGGCAGUCUCGAGUUGGAGAGAAGUAUGCGGAAUGCGCGGUGUAGCGGUGAAAUGCAUAGAUAUCGCGCAGAACUCCGAUUGCGAAGGCAGCAUGCCGGCUCCACACUGACGCUGAGGCACGAAAGCGUGGGUAUCGAACAGGAUUAGAUACCCUUGUAGUC
rnacentral:rRNA from 1 species